ensembl:snRNA U1 U1 spliceosomal RNA
AUACUUACCUGGCAGGGGAGAUACCAUGAUCACAAAGGUGGUUUUCCCAGGGCAAGGCUUAUCCAUUGCACUCCAGAUGUGCUGACCUGUGCGAUUUCCCAAAAUGUGGGAAACUCAACUACAUAAUUUGUGGUAGUGGGGGACUGCGUUCGCUCUCUCCCCUG